GAUGAGUACUAGAAGUAUCCUGAUGCGGUCAUCGUCAGGCUUGUGUGCUGCUCUUGUCCCCGUUGUGGUUUGCAACACCUGAUGUUGUAAGACUUUCUGGUUAUGUCCGCCCCGCUGUGCCACUGGGUUAUUAAGAACGUCGUUAUGGAUGGUUGUCUACACUACAUUAUUGCUUCUCGAUAUUGGAAAACUGUUAUGCGCCUCGGUGGAUUGUGUUGUUGUCGUAAUGUCAUCACUCAUACGCCGCUGGGAAUUUUGAGGCCUGUCAAGCAUCAGGAUUGCGUUAUGAGUUAAAUGCUUCAGCGACGUUUAAACUUGUCUAAGGUGCCAUCUAGAUCAUGAACUUGUCAAGGGUUGCCACUUAGAUCAUGAACUUCGUAAAUAUGUUUUUGGAUCCAAAAUAUGUUUUUGAUCCUUAAGGGUGUGUUUGGUUGAAUGUAUAAGAAGGGAUGAAAGAGGAAUGUCAUAAUUUCUAUAGUGUUUGGUUGAGAGACAAGUGAGGACGAGAUAAAUACCUAAGAAGGGAUGAAAGAGGAAUGCCACAAUUUCUAUAGUGUUUGGUUCAGAGACAAGUGACAAUUUCUAUAGUGUUUGGUUGAGAGACAAGUGAGGGCGAGUAAAUACCGCAAUAAUUUUUUGGUGGCACCGAAUUUUUGUGAAGUUGUAUACAUUUUGGACACCAAUAGAAAAUAGAAUUAAAAAAAUAUAAAACUGGUGUCAUUUAAAUCAGUGUCACGUUAUUAAAAUUUAAAACUAUCAACUAAAAUUGUCUAAUGGAUUAUUUAUGUGGUUUUGUAAAGUUGUGGAGAUUAAACAACCAGUUUUGAAGAUAAGUAAGUGAAAUAGUCAAAUAUAAAACUAGGUUAAGAAUUUAGGUACACUUACGACUAGUUUAGAUGCCGCAAAAUGGGUUAAAUUUUUCUUCUUAUUCAAAAUUAAAUAAUAAGGUGAAUUUAACUACUCUAAUUUCCUCUGUUUUUUUAACUCCCAAACUAUCCCUUAUUCGUAAUAAUAGGAAGCGGUGACAGUUUGGUGGUGAGAACUCAGGUAUCAACAAAAAGAAAUGUAUUUUUGAAAUAUUUUGCUCGUAAUGCCCUGCAAGGUUUCGAUUUCCGUAGCCAGUACAUGUCCGCUCUUGACCCAGGUACUGUGUCACGAACCAACCGACCGUUGAACGGACGUGGAGCACGAACCAUUAAAACAAUCAAAAUCUCAGGGGCUCAAACGAAAAAACACCGCCCCCUUCCCUCGCUUGCGCUGGCACUCCAUCGUGGGCUCGUGGCCCAGGCUGUCGUUCUGUUCUAUAAAGCGAGACGAGUGGGAGCAGGCGUAACCCUAAUUGAGCAUCGCAGAGAUAGGCGUCUUCGUACUCGCCUACCUCCGCGGCUCAAACCUUUCCCCCUUCUCCCAAUUCCUUCCGCCGGCCGCCGCUCCACCCGUACGACGACACCAUGAGGGAGUGCAUUUCGAUCCACAUCGGCCAGGCCGGUAUCCAGGUCGGAAACGCGUGCUGGGAGCUGUACUGCCUUGAGCAUGGCAUUCAGGUAACGAUCCGUCAUUCCCUCCCCCGUUCUCCCUCUGUUGAGGUAGAUCUAUAAUCGGUAUGGGGGUUUCAUCGCUAAUAUUUGCUGGAUUUUUGGUGGGGCUGAAUCCGCCGGAGGAAAUGACGUUUCAAAUCGGUAGAUCUGUACGGAUCUGGAUGCAUGUAAUGGUGGCUACCCGGAUCCGGGUUUGCUAGGUCUGAUCCGGAGAACUGGUGUCUGAGCGAGAUUGCAAUUGUUUUUGAACUGGAAUUUUGAUACGUAGAAUUUGAAUAGGGAUCACCCGAAACCCACGUGCGUGGUAGAUCUGAGUGCCCAGAAUUCGUUUAAAUGUACUGUCAGUUUGGAUCUUUGAAUUUUCAUAGGCUAAGUUCCGUAUUGCCUGUUGAUAUGUGAGCCUUGAUGUACAAAUACAGACUAUAGUAUGUUUAGUGUUAAUUUGAUGUGAGCCUUGAUGAAUUUUCACAGGCUAAGUUCCAUGCCCACAAUGCAUCCAUUCAUACUGUUAUUAAUUCUGUAAAAAAAACGAAUACACGUCACUCUUAGGCACCUUAACCCAAUUUGCAUUUUUCUGUUUAAAUCUGUUAGAAAUGGGAUAGAGACUGGCAUGUUGUUAUGUAGUCCUAGCUGUUAUUAGCUUUAUCUAGGACUAAAUGCUGUUCACAUAUUUCAAGUGUUUGCAAUCGGAGAUUCAAUCAUGGCUCCCUAGGACAUUUGAAUCGUGUGUCAUAGUUUGAAAUAUGAGAUUCAGGCCUGUGUUACCUUAAGAUCAUGCAUCUGUCUGGUCUACUACUGUAGAUGGCAUGUAUUUUUUACAUAGACUCCUUAAGUCGCAUAUUAACACUACUACAUUUGUGUUUUGUUCAGGCUGACGGUCAGAUGCCCGGUGACAAGACCAUUGGGGGAGGUGAUGAUGCUUUCAACACCUUCUUCAGUGAGACUGGUGCUGGGAAGCACGUGCCCCGUGCUGUUUUUGUUGACCUUGAACCCACUGUCAUCGAUGAGGUGAGAACUGGCACCUACCGCCAGCUCUUCCACCCUGAGCAGCUCAUCAGUGGGAAGGAGGAUGCAGCCAACAACUUUGCCCGUGGUCACUACACCAGUAAGUAAUCUGAUCUGAGCGUCAGUUUUCACUGCUCCUUGAUAUUUGCUCUGUAAUGAACAUCUCAUUUAAACCUGAUUCCUUGUUUUGCAGUUGGCAAGGAGAUUGUUGACCUGUGCCUUGAUCGCAUCAGGAAGCUUGCCGACAACUGCACUGGUCUCCAGGGCUUCCUCGUCUUCAACGCUGUUGGUGGAGGAACGGGCUCUGGCCUUGGUUCCCUCCUCCUAGAGCGCCUGUCUGUUGACUACGGCAAGAAAUCCAAGCUUGGGUUCACUGUGUACCCUUCCCCCCAAGUUUCUACUUCGGUAGUUGAGCCAUACAACAGUGUACUGUCCACCCACUCCCUCCUCGAGCACACUGAUGUGGCUAUACUGCUGGACAAUGAGGCCAUCUACGACAUCUGCCGCCGAUCCCUUGACAUUGAGCGCCCAACCUACACCAACCUCAACAGGCUUGUGUCCCAGGUACUGACUUACUGUCUUGGUCUACUGCUUUCGCAUUUUGCCUGGUAAACUGGUUCAAAUACUGGCUGUUGUCUGUAACAACUACCUGUUACUGAUGUUGUACAGGUCAUCUCAUCCCUUACUGCCUCCCUGAGGUUCGAUGGUGCUCUGAACGUGGAUGUUAACGAGUUCCAGACCAACCUGGUACCCUACCCGAGGAUCCACUUCAUGCUUUCUUCGUACGCUCCAGUCAUCUCUGCUGAGAAGGCCUACCACGAGCAGCUCUCUGUGGCUGAGAUCACCAACAGUGCCUUCGAGCCAUCUUCCAUGAUGGCCAAGUGCGACCCACGCCAUGGCAAGUACAUGGCCUGCUGCCUCAUGUACCGUGGUGAUGUGGUCCCCAAGGAUGUGAAUGCUGCUGUGGCCACCAUCAAGACCAAACGCACCAUCCAGUUCGUGGAUUGGUGCCCGACUGGCUUCAAGUGCGGCAUCAACUACCAGCCUCCUAGCGUUGUGCCUGGUGGCGACCUGGCCAAGGUGCAGCGUGCCGUGUGCAUGAUCUCCAACUCCACCAGUGUUGUGGAGGUGUUCUCCCGCAUCGACCACAAGUUCGACCUCAUGUACGCCAAGCGUGCCUUCGUGCACUGGUACGUCGGUGAGGGUAUGGAGGAAGGUGAGUUCUCUGAGGCCCGUGAGGACCUGGCGGCGCUCGAGAAGGACUACGAGGAGGUCGGUGCUGAGUUCGAUGAGGGCGAGGAUGGCGACGAGGGUGACGAGUACUAGAGAAGUUUGCUGAUGACGCAGCAUCAGGCCAGUGUGCUGCCCUUAUCCCGUGAUCUGCCGAGAGUUGCUCCUGCUAUCGUGUUAUGUGUGUCUGUUCUGAAGUAUUGUGUGGUUUACAACACCUGAUGUUGUAAGAGUUGUUAAUUCCCCUGCAUUGCUACCGGGUUAUUGAGAAUAAUUAUGGCUGUUUACGUUGUUGCUUCAUCUCGGAGAUGCUUUACAUUUACCACCUUGUUCAUCUUUUGUCAUCAGUAAAAUCGAGUCGGCGGAUGAUUUUCUUGCGUCUUGUCAUGAGUAUUGAGUAGUAUGGAUUGUUUGAUGCUUUAUAUCACAUUGCAGAAGAUAGUACGAUCUCUAGCUAUAUAUAUGUUCACACAGGAAAGAAAACACUGCAGAAAAUAAAUUAUUUAGGGCUAGUUUGUGAACUCCAUUUUUUCAAGGAUUUCUAUAUUUUUAAAGAAAAUGAUUGAGUCGUCACGAUAGUAAGAGUCGUCACGAUAGUAAAAAUCUGUCACUUUCUAGAUUCUAAAAUAUAUUGACCCUUUUAAUUUCUCCGCUCGUAAUCCUCGUGAUAGCUAGAUUCUCAAGGGAGGUUGUCUACAAACCUAAAAGUAGACUAAUCUUCUGGAGUUUAUAGAUAACUCAACAAAGAUAUAUAAGAUAUUUGAAUUCACUAGAGCUAAGAGGUAGUUGGCUAAAAAAUUGUUAUUGGGAUUAGCUAGCUAACAAACAGUUAGCUAAGAGUAUCUCCAAGAGGCUAGCCAAAUGGCUCGUCAAACCAAAUUUUAGUUAUUUAACAGCAAAAAAGUUAUUGACCAGAUUAGUCAUUUAACUUGUUAAGCCAUCCGACUUUCCAAAUUAGCCCUCACUCUAGCCAAAGUUGGCUAGCCACUCUGUCUAGCCAAGCUGACUUGACUAUUAGAGCAUCUCCAAGAGUCUUUCUAAAGUCCACUCUCUAAAUUAUCAUUUAGAGAGUCAUUUACAUUAAAACCACUUUCUAUAUCUUUUCGAUCUCCAAUAGUCUUUCUAUAUCUUAUUUGUACUCUAGAGAGUCAUUCACAUUUUCUAUAUUUGUCUAGCGAAAAACCAUAAAUAGAAGAUGGCUAUAUUUGAAUAAUCAUUUAGAUAAGAUAUUGGAAAGUAUUUUUGUAUAAAAAUCUCUAUUCAUAUAGAUUAGAAAGGAUAUAAAGAGUCUAUUGGAGUUGCUCUUAAACAGAAUUGAAAUGAGAUGUUGUUUAAUUUUUAUAAAGAGGUAAAUAAAGAGUUAAAUAGAGUAGAAAGUGUAGUCUCUUAUAGAUGCUCAGCUAACUUGUUAAAAGUAGCUAAUUGUUGAAUUAUUAGUUAAAAUGUUUGAAUGUCUUUAGCCAAUUUUUAGCAGCUAAGUAUUAGUAGAGGUGACAAUGUGCUCUAAAUUUUAUAUUAUAAGAUUUAAAAAUCGGAUCGAAUUAGGAUCAUGUCCUAUUUCUAUUAAUUUUUGAACUAAAAUUUAUUUAGAGCCAUAUCAUUUUAUGAAGAAUUAUUUGGAUCACGGUUCAUUACCACCCUUAACUAUUAGCUAUAUUACAUUGAAACACCUCUACAGUCUAUUUAUAACUAUUAGCUAUAUUCAUUGAAACACCUCUAUAGUCUAUUUAUAGAUAACCCGUCUUAUACCAUUCGAUUUAAUCAAAAUGAUUUCGAUCUACAUCAGUAUGUACACUAAACUCGAGUCCAGUCUGUCAUGAGACUUGAAUAAUCAAAGGGCGUGUUCGGCUCGCUACAAGCCGACACUGUUGCAGCUGUUUGGACUGCUGCAGCUGCAAUCCAUAGAGAGAAAAAUACUGUAGAAGCCGCAGCCGCAGCCGGAUUGCAGCCGCAGCAAGCCGCAGCGAACAAGCUCAAAACUGCAGCCUUGUUGAAGGAGCGAAGCAUACGCGACGGCACCGAAUUUUUUGCAUUUUAACCCUUCCUCGAAAAUAAUAUCACGUUUGGAUCCUAAAAAAUUUUAAUGUCAUUUUUAGACCCUUUGCUCGGCGCCAUAGCCUAUAGCGCCGAGGUAACACAGCUCGGCGCCAUAAGCUAUGGCGCCGAGGUAGGUGCUACGCUGGCCCAAACGGACGACGUGGCGCUGACGUGGUACCGAGCUCGGCGCCAUUGAUCUUGGCGCCGAGCUCAAUUUUAUACACAAAGGUCGUCUAGCUCAGUUGGUAGAACGUAAGAUUCUUAACCUUGUGGUUGUGGGUUCGAGCCCCACGGUGAUUGUUUUUUUGUCUUUGUCACUAAUUUAUUUUUUUGUUAUCUAUAUUUUUCGUUUAUGUCGCUCAUUUGUCCGCCCAGAUUUAUUUCUCAUCUAGAUUUUUUAUUUUUGUGACUGAUUUGUUUAUUCAUCUAGAUAUUUUUUGUUUAUUUUUUAUUUUUGUUUUUGUUUAUUCAAACUUUGUGACGCAAUGGCUAUAUAUAUAUAUAUAUAUAUAUAUAUAUAUAUAUAUAUAUAUAUAUAUAUAUCACACCGCCAAAUGAAAGCAAAUCUAAAAGAGAAUGAUGCGCCAGCAUGAUCACAAGUCCAGAACAACAGUUUAUUUAGUAUAUCUCUUAAUUUGGUACAUAUACAGUUACGGCCGACAGAGACAUAAGCAAUUCUAAUCUGACACACUUCCUGUUUCUAUUAUAUUAUUAUAUAAUAUAUGACUAAAAACAUGAAACAAAGGUUUCCCAUGAUCACCAACCAUUUGACAUGACAGCGGAUGACAUCUCUGGAAGGAGGCCAUCCCGAACUCCACCCCUCGCCUGAAAUGCUCCAUCAGGAGGGCCGCUCAAACAAGGGCUCCUGCCUGCGCGCUAAGCGACGAAACAGAACCAGAUUUAGCGAUGGUCCCUAUUGUGUUCAGAUGAUUUUACAAGAAAAUAAAAAAAUUAGCUGAACUCCUUUGAUUUGCUUUCAUUUGGCGGUGUGACAGAGUUUGAAUAAACAAAAACAAAAAA
rnacentral:lncRNA from 1 species